GAUGAACGCUGGCGGCGUGCCUAAUACAUGCAAGUCGAGCGAACAGACGAGGAGCUUGCUCCUCUGACGUUAGCGGCGGACGGGUGAGUAACACGUGGAUAACCUACCUAUAAGACUGGGAUAACUUCGGGAAACCGGAGCUAAUACCGGAUAAUAUAUUGAACCGCAUGGUUCAAUAGUGAAAGACGGUUUUGCUGUCACUUAUAGAUGGAUCCGCGCCGCAUUAGCUAGUUGGUAAGGUAACAGCUUACCAAGGCAACGAUGCGUAGCCGACCUGAGAGGGUGAUCGGCCACACUGGAACUGAGACACGGUCCAGACUCCUACGGGAGGCAGCAGUAGGGAAUCUUUCGCAAUGGGCGAAAGCCUGACGGAGCAACGCCGCGUGAGUGAUGAAGGUCUUCGGAUCGUAAAACUCUGUUAUUAGGGAAGAACAAAUGUGUAAGUAACUAUGCACGUCUUGACGGUACCUAAUCAGAAAGCCACGGCUAACUACGUG
rnacentral:rRNA from 1 species